rnacentral:rRNA from 1 species
AGUGAACGCUGGCGGUAGGCCUAACACAUGCAAGUCGAACGGCAGCACAGUAAGAGCUUGCUCUUACGGGUGGCGAGUGGCGGACGGGUGAGGAAUACAUCGGAAUCUACUUUUUCGUGGGGGAUAACGUAGGGAAACUUACGCUAAUACCGCAUACGACCUACGGGUGAAAGCAGGGGAUCUUCGGACCUUGCGCGAUUGAAUGAGCCGAUGUCGGAUUAGCUAGUUGGCGGGGUAAAGGCCCACCAAGGCGACGAUCCGUAGCUGGUCUGAGAGGAUGAACAGACACACUGGAACUGAGACACGGUCCAGACUCCUACGGGAGGCAGCAGUGGGGAAUAUUGGACAAAGGGCGCAAGCCUGAUCCAGCCAUACCGCGUGGGUGAAGAAGGCCUUCGGGUUGUAAAGCCCUUUUGUUGGGAAAGAAAAGCAGCAGGUUAAUAACCCGCUGUUCUGACGGUACCCAAAGAAUAAGCACCGGCUAACUUCGUG